GGCAGCACGGACUUCGGUCUGGUGGCGAGUGGCGAACGGGUGAGUAAUAUAUCGGAACGUGCCCAGUCGUGGGGGAUAACGUAGUGAAAAUUACGCUAAUACCGCAUACGAUCUAAGGAUGAAAGCGGGGGAUCGCAAGACCUCGCGCGAUUGGAGCGGCCGAUAUCAGAUUAGGUAGUUGGUGAGGUAAAGGCUCACCAAGCCAACGAUCUGUAGCUGGUCUGAGAGGACGACCAGCCACACUGGAACUGAGACACGGUCCAGACUCCUACGGGAGGCAGCAGUGGGGAAUUUUGGACAAUGGACGCAAGUCUGAUCCAGCCAUUCCGCGUGCAGGACGAAGGCCUUCGGGUUGUAAACUGCUUUUGUACAGAACGAAAAGGUCUCUAUUAAUACUAGGGGCUCAUGACGGUACUGUAAGAAUAAGCGCCGGCUAACUACGUGCCAGCAGCCGCGGUAAUACGUAGGGUGCAAGCGUUAAUCGGAAUUACUGGGCGUAAAGCGUGCGCAGGCGGUUAUAUAAGACAGAUGUGAAAUCCCCGGGCUCAACCUGGGAACUGCAUUUGUGACUGUAUAGCUGGAGUGCGGCAGAGGGGGAUGGAAUUCCGCGUGUAGCAGUGAAAUGCGUAGAUAUGCGGAGGAACACCGAUGGCGAAGGCAAUCCCCUGGGCCUGCACUGACGCUCAUGCACGAAAGCGUG
rnacentral:rRNA from 1 species